rnacentral:sRNA from 2 species
AUGUACCACGCGUACAUUCCGGUUGCUGCGCGCCGUCCGCACUCACCUGACGCCUGCUCGCUCCGUUUUGUCAGCC